rnacentral:rRNA from 1 species
UGGGGAAUUUUGGACAAUGGGGGCAACCCUGAUCCAGCCAUGCCGCGUGCGGGAAGAAGGCCUUCGGGUUGUAAACCGCUUUUGUUCGGGAAGAAAAGGCGCUGCCUAAUACGUGGCGUUCUUGACGGUACCGGGAGAAUAAGCACCGGCUAACUACGUGCCAGCAGCCGCGGUAAUACGUAGGGUGCGAGCGUUAAUCGGAAUUACUGGGCGUAAAGCGUGCGCAGGCGGUGAGUUAAGUCUGAUGUGAAAGCCCCGGGCUCAACCUGGGAAUGGCAUUGGAAACUGGCUCGCUGGAGUGUGGCAGAGGGGGGUGGAAUUCCGCGUGUAGCAGUGAAAUGCGUAGAGAUGCGGAGGAACACCGAUGGCGAAGGCAGCCCCCUGGGCCAACACUGACGCUCAGGCACGAAAGCGUGGGGAGCAAACA